GUUUAAAAGCAAGUUCAUGAAUUCGCCUGCCGUGUGCACGGAGAGAGGCCGUAGUUCCUGGGGCUGGAGCUAGUCCAGGAGGACAGUGAAGAUGUCGCCUUCCUUAGUCCCCCGGCCUGUGAGCAAGAGGAAGCUGCAGACCACUCGGGCCACCCUCACCCAGACACCUUUAGCAAACAUACGACGACAAAGACGAUUUUGAUGAAGUUCAAAUUAGAGUCAGCGUGCUCAUCAGAAAGAAGGCGCAGCCAACACGUUUAGGAACAGAAACGGAUUAUGUUGAAGACAAACAAUCCAUUGCAUUUGUGUUCAGUAACCCAAGCAUCAAAGGAACUUGUGGCUGGGGAGGAGGCUUGACUGUCUGAAAUCUCAGGACUCCUCUGUCCAGGAGCUCCCAGACUCCCGCGGAGUGGAAGCCUGGGGGCUCGCUGAAGAAGUCACGUGACUGGACGUGCUUAAUGCGUGGCUGUCUGGUAA